GCCGGUGAUCAUAGCGGCAGGGUCACACCUGAUCCCAUUCCGAACUCAGUAGUUAAGCCUGCCGCGCCGAUGAUACUGCCUCUGCGGGAAAGUAGGUCAUUGCCGGCU
rnacentral:rRNA from 1 species